GGGGGCAUAGCUCAGUUGGGAGAGUAACAGACUGAAGUGUCAUGUAUUGCAGGGAUUAUUCUGGAGGUCCCCAGUUCAAUCCUGGGUGCCCCCA